UACGUAAGUGGCAAGCGUUGUCCGGAUUUACUGGGCGUAAAGAGCGCGCAGGCGGUCGAUUAAGUCGAGUGUGAAAGCCCCCGGCUCAACUGGGGAGGGUCAUUUGAUACUGGUCGACUCGAAGGCAGGAGAGGGAAGUGGAAUUCCCGGUGUAGUGGUGAAAUGCGUAGAUAUCUGGAGGAACACCGGUGGCGAAGGCGGCAUCCUGGACCAACACUGACACUGAGGAGCGAAAGCCAGGGGAGCAAACGGG
rnacentral:rRNA from 1 species